AGGCCUUGUCAAAACAGACCCCUGAUGUCAAAACGGUGGCAUCAGCCUAUCCUGUGCCCCUGCAGGGAGUAGAAACAACAGUGACUUCCAAAUCCAAGAAAGAAAUCUGUAACAUAGGCCAUUUGCGGACAACCAAGAUAUCACUGCAGUUUGUCACAGUGUAGGGAUCCUGCCAGGCAGGUCCUAGAGGAGGAGUCAUGACUGAAAGAGGGACAGAAGCGAAUCCUGGCUGAAUCAUGCCCUUGAAAGCCCCUCGUUCCAGUUAGUCCAGCUGCUCUAGGCUCCCCAGGUAAACCCUGCUUCCCUUCCCCCAGCCCCAGCCAUCCCCAUGCUACUCCCUGAGGCUCCAAACCUACCAAUUCCUAAUUUUCCUUUAGAUCUCAGCUUCCUCAUGGAAGCUUUCCUAAGGCUCCCCAAGCUUUGUCAUCAUAGCACGUACUAUGAUUUAUGAUUAGAUAUUUAUGAAAUGUAUCACCCAGGCCUGUCUUCCCUGUCAGACUAUAAAUUCCAUGAGUCCAGAGAUCACGACAGUCUUGUUUACCCCCAUCUCCUCCAAGCCUAGCAGUCUGGCAUACAGUAGGUGCUUUUGUCAAUAAUAUUUCUUAAGUGAAUGAAUGAAUAAAUGAAUAGAGAAUACAUGAGUGAUGAGAAAGAGGAAGAGCCAAAAAGAAAGAAAAAGAAGGUACGAAUGGAAGCCAUCAAAGAGCCUAGAAGGAGGCAGUGGAGGAAACCAAUGCAGGAUGAAGGAAAGGUGUUUCAGUACCUCAGCCAGGAGCAGGAAUGAGUCAGACUGAGAAGAGUCAUGGGUGCCAUAAGCAGAAAUAAUACUCAUAGUUGACAAAAGGGUAAUGCAUAAGCCACUGUCUCAUUAAUAAAGAAAAACAUGCACGUUAUUAAAAUCAAACAUGAGAACUAUCCUAUACUCAUUAAUUCAUUCAAUAGAUACUUAUUAAGCACCUACUAUAUGCCAGGCUCUGAUCUAGGAGCUGCAGACGCAUCAGUGAACACACACACAAAAAAACAAAGUUCCUGUGCUCAUGAAGCUCACAUUCUAGGAAAGCGAGAUAAACCAAUACAUCCUUGUUCAUAUAACUUAACGAGCUUGUUCACAAGCUUCUUGUUAAUGAGUAAAAUUCAUCUUAGUUGCUCUGAAUUAUUUCCCUUAGCUCCAGUUCUUAAAAAACAAUAAGCUAGGGACUUCCCUGGUGGUGCAGUGGUUAAGAAUCCACCUGCCAAUGCAGGGGACACGGGUUCGAGCCCUGGUCCGGGAAGAUCCCACAUGCCGCAGAGCAACUAAGCCCGCGAGCCACAACUACUGAGCCCGCAUGCCACAACUACUGAAGCCCGCGCGCCUAGAGCCUGUGCUCCGCAACAAGAGAAGCCACCGCAAUGAGAAGCCCACGCACCACAACAAAGAGUAGCCCCUGCUCGCCCACGCGCAGCAACGAAGACCAAACGCAGCCAAAUAAAUAAUUUAAAAAAAACUUAAAACAAAAAAACAAAAAAAAACAAUAAGCUAACCUUUAAAGAAUUGUGAGAGGAAAUGCUAUAUAAUUGUAUCCAUGAGGAUCCUUAAGAAAAUAGGUUCCAAAGAUUCUUCCACAAUAAGAUAAAAAGGAACCCUUGAGUUAUAAUCAGAGUUCUCUCAUUUCUUAGUAGUGGUAUAAAUUAAAAAUGGGUGGAAAAGAAAGAUUUUAAAACUUCACAGGAAAUAAUGCAAUUAUCAUUUAAAACCUUUAAAAAAAAAAGGAAACAAAAAAGGAAUAUGCAAAAUAAAUGUUCCAAAAGCAUGUGGGGACAGGCUUGUAAGUCUCAGCUCUGUUUAUGAGUCGGAAAACUGAAUGGAAAUGGACAGGCACCUGUAAAAAUAUAAGAUGCCCAGUCUGCUACUAGGGCCCCCUCUGAGAGAGAGGUCAGAGGGUUCCUACUUUACAAAGCAUGCCCACCACUACUUCACACCUCAUCUGGGAGGCAGUUGCAAUUCCCAUGUUACAGAUGAGAAAACUUAGAAGAAAUGACCUGCUUCAGUAGAGGGGGUUAGCAGCAGAACUCCAGGUGGUCCCAGACAAGGUGCCUCCUAGCUGCACCUGAAUGGCUGCUUUCCUCAAAGAGACCCAAUAGGUGAGCAGAUCCACAGAUGAAACAAGGUGAAACAUUUAGAAUGGCACAUGGCUUUGAUGGAAUCCCUAAAUAGUUCCCCAACUUUUAAACAAUAAAUCAAUUAACUCCUAUACUGCAUAAAGUAUACAGAAAUAUUUUCAAAGGGAAAAAAAUGGCAUGAGCAAGGGCUGCACACAAAAAAGGAAAAAGAGGAAACAGAAUAAAAGCCUAUGAUCAAAAUCUCACUCGUGAACAUAUAGGCAAAAAUCCAAAAUGAAUCCCUAGCUAAUCAAAUCCACACUCAUAUUCAAAGAAUCACUUUCAAUGAUCAGAUAAUUUGUCUCUAAAUGGAAGGCAGGGAUGAUAUGAGCAAGGCAAUCACUGGCUUCAUCAUAAUAUGGAAAAUAUAGAUCUACAAUUCAAAUUAAAUUUUCCCAAUACGUGUCAACAUGGCAUUCAAUAGCCUAUAGCAUCUCUUCUUGAUUAAAACUACAGACAAAACUAAACCCCACAACGAAGAGAAACUAUUUAAAAUAAGGAGCCAACUCUUAACUUAAUGGAGAUACACUAGAAUGGCUUCAUUUCAGAACUAGAAGCAACCUUAGUAAUUAAAGUUAAGCCCCCUCAUUUUCCAGAUGAAGAAACGAGAGAAACAGGGCCCAGAGAGGUUAAGUAAUUUGCCUAAUGUUACUCAGCUACUAUAUGGCAGAGCCAGGACUAAGACCCACAUCUUCUGGCUCCAAGUCUGAAGCUUUCUGUCAUGAGAAAUGCUGGCAAUAGCUAGCAGGGAAAAAAUAAACAAUACAGAGAAAGUGAAGAAAUAAAAUAUCACAUUGCAGAUAACACUUGCCCACCUGGCAAACAAAGGAGAGAGAGGUAGUUACUAGAAGAGCUCAGUGAGUUUCAGCAUGCAAGCCAGCGUCUCGGCUCAAACACACAGGGGACCGUCUUCACUCACGACAGUAAUGAAAGCAUUACUAAACUCAGGGAUGUACUUGGGCCACAAUAAUACUUAUUCAAAGAAAAUAAUAAAACCUUAAAAGGAGAGAUAAAAUACAAGAGCUCUACCCUCUCCUAGCUAGAAAAGCUGAGUAAAGCAAAAAAGAAUUCUCUCCAGUUUAAUAGAUUAAAUAUGCUACGACUAAUUAAAACUCCCAGGAUAGCUUUCUAAACAUUAGAAACAAUAUGACAAAAAAUAAACAUGAACCUAUCACAGAAUAUUAAUAAGUAGCAGUGACAGACUCAAUUUUUUGUUAAAUGUUUAAUUCAUACAAAAGGACAUUUGUAUCAUGUGUAAAAUAAAAAGAAUAAUGAUAAAAUGAGUAUCUGUGUACCCACUGCCCAGCUAAAGAAAUAGAACAUUUCCUCUAUCUUUGAAAUCCCCAUCCCAAUGACAUGUCCCUUCCCAAACUCCUCCAGAGGUAACCAUUAUCCAGAAUUUUGUUUUCAUUUAUUCUUUUGCUUUACUUUUUUCCAUGAGUAUACCUAACCCUAAACAAUUUAGAAUUUGAUUUUGCACUUUUUUAAAUGUAUAUGAUUGGAAAUAUAGGGUAUGUAAUCUCUGCAACUUGCUUUUUUGUUUAUUUGAAACUUACAUUCCCAAGAUUCAUCCAACUGAUGCAUGUAGAUAUAAUUCACAAUAAGCUGCAUAGAAUUCAUUGUAUGGAAUACACUGUAAUUUAUUUGAUUACUACCCAGCAUCAAGACAACAUUAAGGUUGUUUCCAACGUUUUGUAUUAUAGAAAUUGCUCCUGUGAACAUUCUGACAUCUCUUCAAAUACACAUGCCCAGAGUUUCUAUGCAAUAUACACCUAGGAACUUGCUGGGAGAGUGUACACGUGUCUAACUUUACCUAAAUAAUGCCAACUUGUUUCCCAAAGUAGAAAUACCAACUCCACCUAGCAGUAUCUAAGAGAUCCAACUCUCUAUAUGCCACCAACACUUGAUACUGUCAUGCUUUACACUUUUUUCUAAUCUAGUUGGUAGAAGAUGUAUCUUGUUUUCCUUUUACUUUGCAUUUUCUUGAUUACCAAUGAGGUUGAGCACCUUUGCAUUUUCUAUUUGGCUUUCCUCUUCUGUGAACUGCCUGUUAAAGUCUUUUGCCCCUAUUUCUAUUGCUUUCUGCUUCACUUUUUUCCCCUUAUUUUCAUAAGAUUCUUAUUUGUCUCUGUUUCCUUUUUAAGAAUCCUUCAUAUAUUCUCUCUACUAAUCCCUUAUCAAUUAUAUGUGUUUCAGUAUUUUUCUCCCACUUUAUGAUUGCCUCCUUCCUUUUACUAACAGAUGAGCAGAAGCUCUUCAUUUUAAUGUAGACAAACAUCAGUCUUCCUUUUUGGUUUUAAAGAUAUUCUUCACUGUUUUUUCCUAUUUCAAGGCCAAACAGAUACUCUCCUAUAUUGGUCUCUGGAAUUUAUAUAUAUGUAUGGUGUAAGAUAGGGAUCCAGUUUCAUUUUUUGCAUAUGGACAAAUCAGGUGGUCUAGCAUCAUAUAUUAAACAAUUCCUAACGAUAUGCUUUGCAAGUGCUGUCAAAUCAAGUUUCCAGAUAUAUGUGGAUCUUUUUUGUGCUCUCAACUAUGUUUUGCUGGUCUAUGUUUUUAUGCCACUCUCCAAACCAAACUAUUUUAAUAAACUUCUAUUAUUUUAGUGGUUACUCUAGACAUUUACAUUUUAACAUGCAUACCUAACAUAAAGUCUAAAAUUAAUCGAUAUCUUUACCUUCUGCUCAAACAAUUCAAAAUCUUAGAAGACCAGCUUGGUCACUCUACCUCCCAACUUACAUUCUAUUGCUAUCCAGUGUUUUAGUCUAUCUUGUUUGUGACAGAGACUGCUAGUUGCCUACCCCCAGCAAUUCCAAUCUUCAAUGUUUGCUGGGCACAUGUCCACCCAGAAUAAAGACUAUAUUUCUCAACUUCCCUUGCAGGUAGUUAUGGCCAUAAGAUAAAAGCAUAAGUACUUUCAGGAAAUUUCCUUGAAAGACAACUGGCAGAGGGACUUCUCUUAUUUCCUAUAAUGGCUGGAGCUUCAAAAUGCACCUACCAAGAUGGGGGCAACACCUAGAAACAGGUACAGCUGAAAGCCAUAUGGUUCCAUGUGAAUAUGAAACCACUAUACCAGCUCUGAAUUGCCUGCAUCCAGACAGUUGCAUAAGAGUAAAAUAAACUUCAGGGUCUUGUUCUAGUCACAUAAUUGUUGUUGGUGGUGAUGCUGGUGCCAGUCAGUGAUCCUUUAAAUAUACCCGCAUAUUUACCUACCUUUGCUCAUCAUUCCUUCCUGCAACUCAGACCAUCCAUCUGGAUAAUUUUCCUUAUGUCUGAAAUAUAUCCUUUAGAAUUUCCUUUAGUGAAGAUCUAUCUCUCAGUAUUUGCUUGUCGGAAAAUGCCUUUGUUUCAUACUCAUUCUUGAAAAACAAUUUUGCUGGAUAUAAAAUUCUAGGUUGAUAGAUUGAAGCUGCUAUUCCACUAUCUUCUGUCUUCCAUUGUUACAGGAGAAAAAUAAGCUGUAAGUCUAAUUAACAUUCUUCUACAGGUAUUCUUCUAUCUGUCUCAUUUCUCUCACUAGUUUUAUGAUCUUCUCCUUGUCUUUGGUAUUGUUUCACUAAUAUGUUGUCUAGGUAUGGAUUUAUUUUUAGGUAACAUACUUGGAAUUUGUUGGAUUUCCCAAAUCUAAGAAUAAGUGUUCCUCUCUUACAUUUUAUUAACUCUCUGCCAGCUAUUAAUUUUUUAAAUUUUAAUUUAUUUAUUUUGCCUCUCAGCUCCAAAUCCACCCUUCUUUGCCCUGGUUUGUGAUGCUGGAGUAAGACAUUUCUUCUUUACUAUCCAUCUCUAUGUUAGGCUUUGUCAAUAGAAGUUGCUGGAAAGACACUGCAAGAACAGAUCAGGAAGAAAGGACUUUCCUCCUUUUAGCCUGAUGUUUUCUGUGUGGCCACCUCUGGUUCAGGGUAUGAGGGUCUGGUUGCAUUCACUUCAGUGGCCCCCACAGUUCAACUUUGGCCUGCACAGUCCAACAAGCUUCCCUCCACUCUGCAGCAGGCUGCUUCUGUGAUGCAGUUGUGUUGGGAACCCUCUGAAAGUUUCUUUGCCACUGGUAGGCUGCACAUCCUUGUAACAGCCACAGUCUCUCUUUAAAGGUUUCAAUCUCAGCCUUGGAGGGAGAAGCCCUCCUCUAAGUUUCUUCCUUUUUCACUCUCCCUUACCAGGGGUAGUAACUGCUUUUAUCCUUUUUAGUAAUUAACCAUCUUUAAAGUUAGCAAUUCUUUAUAUUAAAAUUCCCCUGUUCAAAUUACUUGUCUCAUUUCUGUAUCCUGAUACAACCUCUUCCUGAAACUAUGAUUAGACAUUAUGCCUUCUCAUUCUAUCUACCACUUCCUUUGCCUUUCUUAUUUUCUUUCCUAUCUCUGUCUCUUUGUGCUACAUUUGCAUAGUUUCUUCAGCUCUAUCUUCCCAUUCCCUAAUUCUCUCUUCAACUGUCUCUAAUAUCUUUCUUACCCUGUGCAUAAGUUCAAUUUUCAUAUAUUUCAUUUCUAGAAGUUCUAUUUAGUUCUUUUAAAAAUCUGCUAGUUCAUGUUUUUAUAUUUGCUUACUUUUGGGUCAUAUUUUCAAUUUUUAUUUCUUUAAAUAUUGUAAAUAUUUUUAUUUUUAGCAUCAGAUAAUUCCAGUACAUGUAGUAAUUGCAGGUUUGAAUCUGCUGUCUAUUGCUUCUGCUGGUUCCCCCUCAUGGUGACUUGUUUCUUUGUGUUUUGUGAUUUUUUAUUGUGAUCUCAUGUACCUUGGAAAUUUAUCUGUGAGAAUUUUUAAAAGCCUAGGUUGAGAACUCCUCCUCCAGAGAGUUUGUGUUUGCUUCUGCAAGAUAAAAUGAAUUCUAGGCUUGAUGUUUUUCAGACCACACAGGUAAUAUGAAUUUGGGCAACAAACCCAAGAAAAGGCCGGCUUGUGGUUUCAAAUUCUCAUUUUUUUGCUCUCUUCCAACUACUAAUAAGAUCAAAACAGACAAGUUUUCUUGCUGUCCUCCUCUGUGGGAGUUUUUCCUAAUAUUCUCUUACACUAAUGAUUAUGUACUUUUUCAGGGUUCCCAGCUUUAUGUGAGGGAUCCUAUCAUAUUCUCUAUCUUGACUAGUCCCUAGGAACACACACAACUAUGAAAACUGAAGAUCAGUGCUAAAAGGAUUCAGUAUACACCUCCCAGAGAGAAAGCCAGUUUCAGAGUUAGGUUUUCUCUCUGGAUUAAUUAAUUCACUUAACGCAUAUUUGAACAGUCACUGUUGUAUGUGCUUGGGACACACUAGUGAACAAAAUAGACAAAGAUCCUUGUCCUCAUGGAGUUUAUAGUCUAGCAGGAGGGAGGAAAACAAAAUAAAGAAGUUAUAUACUGUGUUACAAAGUAAUUAAAAAACAAAAGACCAGGUGGGGGGUACAGGUGUAAUAUUAAAUAAGGUGUAAGGUGUCAGGGUAGGCCUCCUUUAGGGCAAGGACCUAAAGGAGGUGAGGAGUGAACCAGUGUGGUACCUAGAAAAGUGAUCCAGGCAGAGGGGAAAGCUGGUGCAAAGAUGCUGAGGCAGGAACAUGCUGGGUGAGUUCAAGGAACUGCAAGGAGGCUGAUAUGAUUAGAGUGGGGUGAGCAAGGCGAAGAGGGUGGGGGAGGUGGUCAGAGAGGAAACAGGGUCAGAUCACAAAGGGCUGCGGGAGCUACUGUAAGGGCUCUGGCUUUAAUAUGGAGUGAGACAGGAGCCAAAGAAGGGUUUUAGGUAGAAAAGAGACAUGAUUUGACUUACAUUUAAAAAGGAUCCCUCAGGCUGGUGAGUUGACUGGCAUUUACUCUAAGUGAAAUGGAGAUUCCUACUUUCACUUAUUUUUUGACCUCUGAAGAUUCCCUGCUAUCUCUUAAGUCAGGACACAGUUUUCUUUGUUGUCAGUGGGGAGGCUGUUUGGGGUAUCUAGUCUACCACAUUGCUGGAGAUAGAAGGCACCCUACCAGUUUUCUAAACAUAGCACAAAGCUGUUGUCAAAAGAAUGGGAUAAAAACUAGAGAUCAUUGAAAAAAAAUGAAAUUAAUGUACAGUAUGGCAAAGCAGAAAUAAAAAAGGGUUAGAAAUCAUUACUUAAGAAUUGUUAAGGCAAGAACUAACCAGAUUCAGACCUGACAAAUACUACUGCAAUAUAUUCCAUACGGAUUCACACUUUUUAAACCAUAAAUAAUUAGAAUAAAGUACAAUGACAAGUAAGAAAGCCCAAUCUUUUCAAGGGAGGGGGUGUCUCUGUACAGAGUGGGGCAACUAGAGCUUGUACCCUGAAUUUUGCUUCCCAAGAUUCUCGUAAAACUCCCAUGGUACUUGCCCCCUCUGGGUACCUCCCCACACCUAACUAUACCUUGCAUUUAUGAAGUGCUAAUACCCAUUUAUUGAAUUGCAUCUUUAUACCCUAAAUAUAUGUCGUUUUAGACCACUCAGUGAACAUUUAAAAUGUUUAUAAAUAAAGAGUCCAUCUAACAUAUCAGUAAAGAAAACCAUAUCUCAUAGUAUAUAAUUUUUUUUAAGUUAAAAACAAUGUGCACUAUGACACUUAAAAAAACAGGAAUGAAAGUAAAUUUUAACAAUAGUUGUCUCUGAAUGGUGGGAUUAGUGGGUUAUUUUAUUUUACUGUUUGUGCUAAAUUUUUCUCCAAUAAAUGUUCUAUUUGUUAUAUAUAUACACCAUAUAUAUGGUAAUCUAUAAACCGCAGAGCAGUUAGAGACAAAUUUCCUUACUAUUAAUUGCAGCACACUUAGUUAAGAUAUAUGAUAGUGUGUUGAAACUUCUAUGAAAGAAUAACAAAGAAUCACAAAACUAAAAUAAUAAACCAUCAGAUUAAGAAAAAAUAUAUGUAUCAAAUAUUAUAUUAAAUACAUACACACAUGCAUAUGCAGGCUCAUCUUCAUUUGCAAGAAAAAAAAAAUUUAAGACCUCCCAAAUUAGGCGAACAGAGAAUAUAAAAAUAUAUUGAUGGGACUUCCCUGGUGGUGCAGUGGUUAAGAAUCCGCCUGCCAAUGCAGGGGACAUGGGUUCAAUCCCUGGUCUGGGAAGCUCCCACAUGCCGCAGAGCAACUAAGUCCGUGUGCCACAACUACUGAGCCUGCGCUCUAGAGCCUGCAAGCCACAACUACUGAGCCCGUGUGCCACAACUACUGAAGCCUGCGUGCCUAGAGCCCACGCUCUGCAACAAAAGAAGCCACCACAAUGAGAAGCUCACACGCCGCAACCAAGAGUACUCCCCGCUCGCCGCAACUAGAGAAAGCCCACGCAGCAAGGAAGACCCAACACAGCCAAAAGUAAAUAGAUAAACUUAUUUAUUUUUUAAAAAAAGGAUCACUUAAAAAAAAAAAGACAUUGACAUCAAAGGAAAUAAAAUAAACCAAAAAAAAAAGUUUU